GACGAACGCUGGCGGCGUGCUUAACACAUGCAAGUCGAACGGAAAGGCCUGUCCUUCCUUGUGUUGGACGGGUACUCGAGUGGCGAACGGGUGAGUAACACGUGAGUGAUCUGCCCCCAACUUGGGUAUAAGCCUGGGAAACUGGGUCUAAUUCCCGAUAGGACUGCAGGGUGGUGCCUGUGGUGGAAAACGAUUUUCUAGUGGUUGGGGAUGAGCUCGCGGCCUAUCAGCUUGUUGGUGGGGUAAUGGCCUACCAAGGCGGCGACGGGUAGCCGGCCUGAGAGGGUGGACGGCCACAUUGGGACUGAGAUACGGCCCAGUCUCCUACGGGAGGCAGCAGUGGGGAAUAUUGCACAAUGGGCGGAAGCCUGAUGCAGCGACGCCGCGUGGGGGAUGACGGCCUUCGGGUUGUAAACUCCUUUCGACCGCGAGGAAGCCGCCUGGUUGGAAGGGUGGUGACGGUAGUGGUAGAAGAAGCACCGGCUAACUACGUG
rnacentral:rRNA from 1 species